UCCCACGUGGUCUAGUGGCUAUGAUUUGGCGCUUUCAACGUAAUGACCCGGGUUCGAUUCCCGGCGUGGGAA
rnacentral:tRNA from 1 species